AAGACUGGGAUAACUUCGGGAAACCGGAGCUAAUACCGGAUAAUAUUUUGAACCGCAUGGUUCAAAAGUGAAAGACGGUCUUGCUGUCACUUAUAGAUGGAUCCGCGCUGCAUUAGCUAGUUGGUAAGGUAACGGCUUACCAAGGCAACGAUGCAUAGCCGACCUGAGAGGGUGAUCGGCCACACUGGAACUGAGACACGGUCCAGACUCCUACGGGAGGCAGCAGUAGGGAAUCUUCCGCAAUGGGCGAAAGCCUGACGGAGCAACGCCGCGUGAGUGAUGAAGGUCUUCGGAUCGUAAAACUCUGUUAUUAGGGAAGAACAUAUGUGUAAGUAACUGUGCACAUCUUGACGGUACCUAAUCAGAAAGCCACGGCUAACUACGUGCCAGCAGCCGCGGUAAUACGUAGGUGGCAAGCGUUAUCCGGAAUUAUUGGGCGUAAAGCGCGCGUAGGCGGUUUUUUAAGUCUGAUGUGAAAGCCCACGGCUCAACCGUGGAGGGUCAUUGGAAACUGGAAAACUUGAGUGCAGAAGAGGAAAGUGGAAUUCCAUGUGUAGCGGUGAAAUGCGCAGAGAUAUGGAGGAACACCAGUGGCGAAGGCGACUUUCUGGUCUGUAACUGACGCUGAUGUGCGAAAGCGUGGGGAUCAAACAGGAUUAGAUACCCUGGUAGUCCACGCCGUAAACGAUGAGUGCUAAGUGUUAGGGGGUUUCCGCCCCUUAGUGCUGCAGCUAACGCAUUAAGCACUCCGCCUGGGGAGUACGACCGCAAGGUUGAAACUCAAAGGAAUUGACGGGGACCCGCACAAGCGGUGGAGCAUGUGGUUUAAUUCGAAGCAACGCGAAGAACCUUACCAAAUCUUGACAUCCUUUGACAACUCUAGAGAUAGAGCCUUCCCCUUCGGGGGACAAAGUGACAGGUGGUGCAUGGUUGUCGUCAGCUCGUGUCGUGAGAUGUUGGGUUAAGUCCCGAAACGAGCGCAACCCUUAAGCUUAGUUGCCAUCAUUAAGUUGGGCACUCUAAGUUGACUGCCGGUGACAA
rnacentral:rRNA from 1 species